GUAUUUAACCAGAAAGCCAGGGCUAAUUACGUGCCAGCAGCCGCGGUAAUACGUAGGUGGCAAGCGUUGUCCGGAUUUAUUGGGCGUAAAGCGAGCGCAGGCGGUUUUUUAAGUCUGAUGUGAAAGCCUUCGGCUCAACCGAAGAAGUGCAUCGGAAACUGGGAAACUUGAGUGCAGAAGAGGACAGUGGAACUCCAUGUGUAGCGGUGAAAUGCGUAGAUAUAUGGAAGAACACCAGUGGCGAAGGCGGCUGUCUGGUCUGUAACUGACGCUGAGGCUCGAAAGUAUGGGUAGCAAACAGGAUUAGAUACCCUGGUAGUCCAUACCGUAAACGAUGAAUGCUAAGUGUUGGAGGGUUUCCGCCCUUCAGUGCUGCAGCUAACGCAUUAAGCAUUCCGCCUGGGGAGUACGGCCGCAAGGCUGAAACUCAAAGGAAUUGACGGGGGCCCGCACAAGCGGUGGAGCAUGUGGUUUAAUUCGAAGCUACGCGAAGAACCUUACCAGGUCUUGACAUACUAUGCAAAUCUAAGAGAUUAGACGUUCCCUUCGGGGACAUGGAUACAGGUGGUGCAUGGUUGUCGUCAGCUCGUGUCGUGAGAUGUUGGGUUAAGUCCCGCAACGAGCGCAACCCUUAUUAUCAGUUGCCAGCAUUAAGUUGGGCACUCUGGUGAGACUGCCGGUGACAAACCGGAGGAAGGUGGGGAUGACGUCAAAUCAUCAUGCCCCUUAUGACCUGGGCUACACACGUGCUACAAUGGAUGGUACAACGAGUUGCGAACUCGCGAGAGUAAGCUAAUCUCUUAAAGCCAUUCUCAGUUCGGAUUGUAGGCUGCAACUCGCCUACAUGAAGUCGGAAUCGCUAGUAAUCGCGGAUCAGCAUGCCGCGGUGAAUACGUUCCCGGGCCUUGUACACACCGCCCGUCACACCAUGAGAGUUUGUAACACCCAAAGUCGGUGGGGUAACCUUUAGGAACCAGCCGCCUAAGUGACAGAGAUGGGA
rnacentral:rRNA from 1 species